rnacentral:misc_RNA from 1 species
CGGUGCAAGCAUAAGCAGGUGCGAUAGCAGCACGGAGGCGCUCCAACAACAACAAAGAGGGGAGGUUGCGCCAGGAGGACACAGGCCGCGUAUGUGUUUGUGCGCGUGAGUAGCAGUACUUCGAGGCGUUUCCAUUUCCGUGCCGCCGGCGUCCCCCGGCCUCUUUUUCCUUCGCUUGCUUACAUUUGUUGCGUGCUCACCCGUACCACUCUGCUCGUCUCCCGGCUCUCUCCCCUCCUUCCCUGAGGAUGGCUAGUCAUGACGGCAUUAGCGACUUCAGCUCUUCAUCCGCCGGCGAUGCGGUGAAGUCGGCCCGAGUGACCACCGACAGCGUCCAGGGGUUGCUUCGCGCUGCACGUCAAAAUCCGGAGAAGGAGCUUGGCAUCCCAUUGGAUGAGCUGGAGAGACGUCAGAGAGAGGCGUGUAAGGCACGCCAGUUUGUGAGUGAGUCUACAAGCCGUAAGUUCGAUGUGAAGAGCUCGGCGCGAGCGCAGCAGAUUAUGAACCAGGGUGUUGACAAGUACCAGCGAGAAAAACGUCAGAGAGACCUGAGGCACAAUCUGUCGAUGCUGCGCAAACUGCAGGUGGUGCUGUGCGUCUUCGGCGCCGGCUUGUUUGGUUGGCUGGCCGUGACGUACCUGCUGCCGCGUUACUUCGCGGUGCAAGACCGCCAACGUCGCAUGCAGUUGCGCUACGAGCGCGCGCAGAGGAGCUUGGAAGGCAUCGGCGACGGUGGCGCGGCCGCGGCGCCGGUUGGCCCGGUGGUGCGCGUCUUUCGCGUAGAGGACGGAGGUGAGGUUAGCAUGAAGCACACCAUUCAGUGAAGGGAAUCACAAGUGGUUUGCCGCUGGCGACGUGUGUGGCUGCAUGACAGCGAUUUUGUUUUUGUUCACAGCGCCGUGAUUGUAGCGUGAAGUGCGUGACUCGCCAGGCAUGCAUCACCUUCAAAGCAGAAGAUCAUGAAAAAACGGCAGCGGCUUGACAGCAGUAGCGUGCAGCGCGCUCCCUCGGCUGCUCUCUGCCUCACAUGCGUGGCCCGGCCUGGAUAACCGACGUGCACAUGCAUUGCUGGCCACGAAGUUAGAGGAGGCAUCUUGUUUCCGUCCGCAUCUAGGUCAAGCUCAACCACCCCACAGCGAGAGGACAGGUGCUUCUCCUUUACUUCUGUCGUCAACGCAGUGCCGGGCCCAUGUGUGUUGUCACCCCUUGCCCCUCAUUCCUAUCCAAUGCUACCUGAGCCCAACAUACGAGUGCGUGUGUGACGUCCACUCUGUGCAC